rnacentral:rRNA from 1 species
UACACGACCGUACCGCAAACCGACACUGGUGCGCGAGAUGAGUAUUCUAAGGCGCUUGAGAGAACUCAGGAGAAGGAACUCGGCAAAUUGACACCGUAACUUCGGAAGAAGGUGUGCCUUUAGUAGGUGAACCUGUACAAGGGGAGCCCAAUGAGGUUGCAAAAAAUCGGUGGCUGCGACUGUUUAAUAAAAACACAGCACUCUGCAAACACGAAAGUGGACGUAUAGGGUGUGACGCCUGCCCGGUGCUGGAAGAUUAAAUGAUGGGGUGCAAGCUCUUGAUUGAAGUCCCAGUAAACGGCGGCCGUAACUAUAACGGUCCUAAGGUAGCGAAAUUCCUUGUCGGGUAAGUUCCGACCUGCACGAAUGGCGUAACGAUGGCCACACUGUCUCCUCCUGAGACUCAGCGAAGUUGAAAUGUUUGUGAUGAUGCAAUCUCCCCGCGGAAAGACGGAAAGACCCCAUGAACCUUUACUGUAGCUUUGUAUUGGACUUUGAACAGAUCUGUGUAGGAUAGGUGGGAGGCUUUGAAGUGUGGUCGCUAGAUCGCAUGGAGCCAACGUUGAAAUACCACCCUGGUGUGUUUGAGGUUCUAACCUAGGCCCGUAAUCCGGGUCGGGGACAGUGCAUGGUAGGCAGUUUGACUGGGGCGGUCUCCUCCCAAAGCGUAACGGAGGAGUUCGAAGGUACGCUAGGUACGGUCGGACAUCGUGCUAAUAGUGCAAUGGCAUAAGCGUGCUUAACUGCGAGACUGACAAGUCGAGCAGAUGCGAAAGCAGGACAUAGUGAUCCGGUGGUUCUGUAUGGAAGGGCCAUCGCUCAACGGAUAAAAGGUACUCUGGGGAUAACAGGCUGAUACCGCCCAAGAGUUCAUAUCGACGGCGGUGUUUGGCACCUCGAUGUCGGCUCAUCUCAUCCUGGGGCUGUAGCCGGUCCCAAGGGUAUGGCUGUUCGCCAUUUAAAGAGGUACGUGAGCUGGGUUUAAAACGUCGUGAGACAGUUUGGUCCCUAUCUUCCGUGGGCGCUGCAGAUUUGAGGAAGCCUGCUCCUAGUACGAGAGGACCGGAGUGGACACACCUCUGGUGUAUCGGUUGUCACGCCAGUGGCAUUGCCGAGUAGCUAUGUGUGGAAGAGAUAACCGCUGAAAGCAUCUAAGCGGGAAACUCGUUUCAAGAUGAGAUCUGCCGGGGCCUUGAGCCCCCUAAAGAGUCGUUCAAGACCAGGACGUUGAUAGGUCGGGUGUGGAAGCGCAGUAAUGCGUUAAGCUAACCGAUACUAAUUGCUCGUGCGGCUUGACCA